AUAUUUUCCAUCCAGAAUAGAGCCUCUCUCCUGCAGGUUUCCUAAGCAAAUUGGACUUUUUGUUGGGUCACCUGGCUGACCGAAGUUCAACAUGCAGAUCAUCUUUGAAGAUAUUUUUUUGGGCCCACUUGUGAGGAGCUCCAGCCAGUUUUAUUUUGCCAAGUGGUGCGUAAUGGUGCAGUGACAGGAGGGCAUUAUAUAUGGUUCAAAUGCACUGUGGAAAAGGGAAGAUGGAUUUGUUCCUGGUUCUCAGGCAUUUAUUUCUGCAUACUGGUCUUCCAAGCGAUGCUCUUGAAAAUAGGAGCAAGAAUGUAGCAGCAAUCAACCUGAAAAACAAUGUGCAAUCAUUUGAAGUGUCUGAACCCAGGGCUAAAAUGAAGGGCCCAGACCUAAUUCUUCAGGAAAUGUGUUGUUUUGUCUUGGAGUUGAAGCAGUAAACAUAAAGUAUAUUUUAUAUGAACACAUAUCAAUGCAAACUGCAUUCUGUGUCAAAAACAUGGGUUGCUUUAUCUAAGUGAAAAGGCUUUGUUUUCUGUUUGAAAAUGACAAUGAGAAUUUUGGAUGGAAACUGAGAAGAGAACAGUAAGCCAUAUCAGUAACAGUGCUGAUCACAGCUGAAGUGUAUGUUACCAAGGUGACCACACUUACAGACUCAUGCUGAACUCAUCAGUAAUCAAGAGUUUAACUAGCAACAUCUCUAAAAGUUACAUUUCUGCCUUGGCUAAAAUAAAAAAG
rnacentral:lncRNA from 1 species